AAGAACACGAAGACAGAAACAGAAGAGAAAGGUUGGCAAUGGAAAUUGCUUCUACUUCUACUGCUUCUUCUCUUUCUUCUCCUUCUCCUUCUUCUU
rnacentral:ribozyme from 13 species